CUCCUUGGUGAGAGGUUUAAAUAAACACAUAGCUUCAUUCUGAAACUUACGAGCUGGGGAUUGUUUGAAACUUCCGUUGCACACCAUUCAGAAGAACAUGUAUGACCUCCAGGAAGACUCAGGCUUGGAACUCUUCUAAGAGGAAAGAGAACCAAGAUGGCAAAGUGGGUCCUCUGCGGUCACGAAGGAUCUGAGGUGUUAAUUAAAGCCCCGGGAGAGAGUGAAGACAAACUGGCCUUGAGCUCACGUUGAAGCCCAGGCUGGUCUCAAACUUGGAACAGUCCUCCUGCCGCAGCCUUGAGAGUCCUGGCAUUACAGAUUGACCAAGUGUCUGAGAAAAUACUGUGGUUGAGUGACAAAUAAUGGGCCAAGCUGGCAGCAACUUCUCAUCCCCAACAUAUUGAAGAGGGAGGAUUUGCGACAGACUCAAAACCCAAAACCAGCUACCCCUAAAAGAUACCUGAGACAAGUAAGCAUUUUUCUAAGGGUUCUAAAUGCUAGCAAUGAAAGAACUCACCAUAGGCAAUUUACAAGAAUCAUGUCAUAAAUUAAACUAAAAAGAAAAGAUAAGGAGAAGAAAAGAUGAGAAGAAACUUAAACAAGGUGCAACCCCAGACAUCCAGUUCACCAAAGGCAAGCCCAGAGGUCAGUGAGACAGAGCAAUCUGAAAGCCUCCACCUGGCCUCUCUGAACUGGUAACAACAAAGCAAUUGAAUGAGGCUCUAGAAAAAAAAAAUGAAGUCAGAAAUAAUUUCUCAAGUAACUACAGAGAUGGUGACCACAAUGAAGAAACACAAACAAAAACAUAUAAGAAGAAAUGUCCAGCAUCACUGGUCAUUCGAGAGAUACAAAUUAAAACAACACUGAGAUUCCAUCUCACCCUGGGAAGAAUGGCUAUCAUCAAAAAAUCAAUCAGUUAACAUGAUGGAGGGAUUAUUAGGAAAAAGAAACACUUCUCCACUGUUGGUGGGACUGUAGACCGUUACAACUACUAUGGAAACCAGUGGGGAAGUUCCCCAAAAAACUAGAAUUGGAGGUUCUAUUUGACCCAGCUUGUCCUCUUCUGGGUAUCUUCCCAGAAUUAAAAACAUCAUAACAUAGUGAUAUAUGUGCACCCAUGCUUACAGCAGCACAAUUUGUGAUAGCUCCGCUCUUGAAAACAACCCAAGCGCUCAUCAACAGAGGAAUAAAUAAAAAGAUGUGAUCUUUUUAUACAAUAGAGUACUAUUUUGCCAUAAAGAAGGAUAAACUGGAGACUUUUAUAGGUAUAUCAAUGCAACCCAAGACCAUGCUCAUAAGUGAUAUAAAUUGGACAGUAUAAACAGAUUGUCUCCCUAGUGUGGGAAGUUGAAAGAGUAAAUAAGAUCCAAAAUGUACAAUAGAUAACAUAAAAUAGGAAGAAACUGUUGAAAAGGAAAGAGAAACUGGAAUGGGUAAAAGGAGAAAAGAAGAAAGGGAAAAGUAAAAAACAAAUACUAUAUAUAUGUAUACACAUACACAAGAUAGUUAAGAUAGUCAUACUACUUACUAAUUUCUCUUAGUUUAUUGAAAGUAAAGGUUUGUGCUAAUAUUGUUUGGACAAUUAAAUGCCUAUAUCUUGUACUCUAACUGAAGAUAACAAUAUACAAUGUAUUAGCCAUUGUUUUUAUAUUAUCUUGUUUUGAAAUUUUGGGGUUUUGUUCUCUUUAAAAUAAAUUUUAAAAAAGAGCAGUUAUAUUCAUUGUUUUCACAGUGUAAUGAAGGAGAUUUUACAGAAGGUGUUUUUAAAAAUAUUCAGGUCAUAGGACACUUGAUGACUGAUUAUGAAAGUCUUGGAAUCUCAUUGGAACUUGUUAGCAAUUACAUAAAAAGCACUAUAAACAAGUUUUUCAUUCCUCUGUACUUCAUCCAUUACCACUUUUUUGCACUAAACUACAGUGUAAAUUUCCACUGCUCUGAAAAAAGCUGGAUCAGUCUCUUGAAGUUCCUGUCAGCUUUACAUACCUACAUUUUUCUAAAUAACAACAGAAUAAAACAUCUAAUGUGAAGAAUAUGUCAUGAGUAUAAUAAAACUGUGUCUUGUAGAGAGUAAUAUAUGCCUUGAAAAGAAAGGUUUGUGCUAAUAACUGUUUGGACAAUUAAAUGCCUAUAUCUUGUACUCUAAAGACAACAAUACACAAUGUAUUAGCCAUUGUUAUUAUAUUAUCUUGUUCAUAUAUGUAGGCUAAAACUGUACAUUUUUCUUUCAUAGUAACUGUCCUCUUUCAUAUGUGUCCAUGAUUUAUGUUUGUUAUCAAUUUCAAAAACUAUUUUCAAUGAAAAUAGUUUUUAAUUGUAAUAGUUUUUAAUUUUAUAAAAAUAUAGGCAAUUAAAUGCAGAUGCCUUAUACUCUGAGUCACUAAUUUAAAGAUAACAAUAUGCAAUGUAUUAAUCAUUGUUAUCAUCUAAUUAUCAUGCUUUGAAAUUUUGUUUUUUCUCUUUAUAAUAAUAUAAAAUAAUUUUUUUAAAUGUAUACAUAAACAUUAUCUUUCUGAGGUUGUAUAUUCACCAUGUUCAAUUGUUUUUCUUUGUGCUCAAAAACCACAGGUAAAUUCAUAGACUCCAUUCUGGAAGUCUUGACAAUGAAUUUGCUUGAGACAAAUUCAGUUUAUUUACCUCCAACUAACCACAGAUUCUUGGUGGAAUUUCCAGAUUGAUUUUCUGUCUUUUCAUUGACCAACCAGUCAUUACAAAUUGUGACUACAAGCAUGAGUUUGCAGCAUAAUAUAUUAGUGUGGAAAUUAUAAUAACUCUCUCGAAAUGGAUUUGAAGGAGAAAAAAAGCUUUAGGUUUAAUUCAUGGCAUACAUCCGCUUUCCAUGUUCCUACAGUCUCCUCUAAAACCAUAUGCCAUAGUAAAAGAAAAAUUCUUGUUGGUUAAGACACCUAAAGAUUUUGCCAUUAGAGGUUAUCAGAAUCAGAGAUAAAAUUUCAAUUAAUUGUCUAUGCAAAAACCCUAUUGCUCAGUGUCAUGUUUUAUGUCGGUGGCCCCCAGGCCUCAUAAGUUUGCAUUGUGCAUUUGUGAUGGUUCAUUGUCUAGUGCUUGGAUUGAUGGUGUCAGUGCUCCACCCCCAAAGGGGUGGGGCCAGGAUGUAAUGUAAUGGCAGGAAGAAGGUGUGUCUUGCUCUUUGCUGGUUCCUGCUUGCUGUUUGCAGCCGCCAUGAGCUGCGGCCCAGCCAUGCCUGCCUGCCUGGAAGCCAACUGAGUUUGGACUGAAACCUCCAAAAACUGUAAGAAAUAAAUCUUUCCUUUCCCAA